UCGCGCCCGGCGCGGAGGUGCGCGCGCAACUGGUGCUGGAGCAGCCGCUGGCCGCGGCGGCGCUCGACCGUUUCGUGCUGCGCGAC
rnacentral:tRNA from 1 species